AUGGUGUGUUUGUUUUU
rnacentral:miRNA from 1 species